CAGCCGCCACGGGAAUACAGAGGGUGCGAGCGUUAAUCGGAUUUACUGGGCGUAAAGCGUGCGUAGGCGGCUUUUUAAGUCGGAUGUGAAAUCCCUGAGCUUAACUUAGGAAUUGCAUUCGAUACUGGGAAGCUAGAGUAUGGGAGAGGAUGGUAGAAUUCCAGGUGUAGCGGUGAAAUGCGUAGAGAUCUGGAGGAAUACCGAUGGCGAAGGCAGCCAUCUGGCCUAAUACUGACGCUGAGGUACGAAAGCAUGGGGAGCAAACAGGAUUAGAUACCCGUGUAGUCCCUGUCUCUUAUCU
rnacentral:rRNA from 1 species